UGCGCAGGCGGUUUUGUAGGACAGUGGUGAAAUCCCCGGGCUCAACCUGGGAACUGCCAUUGUGACUGCAAGGCUAGAGUGCGGCAGAGGGGGAUGGAAUUCCGCGUGUAGCAGUGAAAUGCGUAGAUAUGCGGAGGAACACCGAUGGCGAAGGCAAUCCCCUGGGCCUGCACUGACGCUCAUGCACGAAAGCUGGGAGCAAACA
rnacentral:rRNA from 1 species